GACGAGAAGCUUGCUUCUCUGAUGUUAGCGGCGGACGGGUGAGUAACACGUGGAUAACCUACCUAUAAGACUGGGAUAACUUCGGGAAACCGGAGCUAAUACCGGAUAAUAUUUUGAACCGCAUGGUUCAAAAGUGAAAGACGGUCUUGCUGUCACUUAUAGAUGGAUCCGCGCUGCAUUAGCUAGUUGGUAAGGUAACGGCUUACCAAGGCAACGAUGCAUAGCCGACCUGAGAGGGUGAUCGGCCACACUGGAACUGAGACACGGUCCAGACUCCUACGGGAGGCAGCAGUAGGGAAUCUUCCGCAAUGGGCGAAAGCCUGACGGAGCAACGCCGCGUGAGUGAUGAAGGUCUUCGGAUCGUAAAACUCUGUUAUUAGGGAAGAACAUAUGUGUAAGUAACUGUGCACAUCUUGACGGUACCUAAUCAGAAAGCCACGGCUAACUACGUGCCAGCAGCCGCGGUAAUACGUAGGUGGCAAGCGUUAUCCGGAAUUAUUGGGCGUAAAGCGCGCGUAGGCGGUUUUUUAAGUCUGAUGUGAAAGCCCACGGCUCAACCGUGGAGGGUCAUUGGAAACUGGAAAACUUGAGUGCAGAAGAGGAAAGUGGAAUUCCAUGUGUAGCGGUGAAAUGCGCAGAGAUAUGGAGGAACACCAGUGGCGAAGGCGACUUUCUGGUCUGUAACUGACGCUGAUGUGCGAAAGCGUGGGGAUCAACAGGAUUAGAUACCUGGUAGU
rnacentral:rRNA from 1 species